GACGAACGCUGGCGGCGUGCUUAACACAUGCAAGUCGAACGGAAAGGCCCUGCUUUUGUGGGGUGCUCGAGUGGCGAACGGGUGAGUAACACGUGAGUAACCUGCCCUUGACUUUGGGAUAACUUCAGGAAACUGGGGCUAAUACCGGAUAGGAGCUCCUGCUGCAUGGUGGGGGUUGGAAAGUUUCGGCGGUUGGGGAUGGACUCGCGGCUUAUCAGCUUGUUGGUGGGGUAGUGGCUUACCAAGGCUUUGACGGGUAGCCGGCCUGAGAGGGUGACCGGCCACAUUGGGACUGAGAUACGGCCCAGACUCCUACGGGAGGAAGCAGUGGGGAAUAUUGCACAAUGGGCGGAAGCCUGAUGCAGCAACGCCGCGUGCGGGAUGACGGCCUUCGGGUUGUAAACCGCUUUCGCCUGGGACGAAGCGUGAGUGACGGUAAUGGGUAAAGAAGCACCGGCUAACUACG
rnacentral:rRNA from 1 species